rnacentral:lncRNA from 1 species
ACUCUCCCACAUCACCUAGUUAUAGUCCAACAUCUCCGAGCUAUAGCCCUACAUCUCCUAGUUAUAGCCCAACAUCGCCUAGCUAUAGCCCUACUUCGCCUGCCUACAGCCCCACUUCACCUGCCUACAGCCCCACUUCGCCAUCCUACAGCCCCACUUCGCCAUCUUACAGCCCCACUUCGCCAUCAUACAGCCCCACCUCACCUUCUUACAGUCCCACCUCGCCUUCAUAUAGCCCCACCUCACCAAGUUAUAGUCCAACUUCUCCAUCAUAUAGUCCCACUUCUCCUGCAUACAGUCCUACCUCCCCUGGUUACAGCCCAACAUCUCCCAGUUACAGCCCAACAUCACCAUCUUAUAGUCCUACAUCACCAAGUUACAAUCCCUCGGCGAGAUACAGCC